CAACUUUCGGUACAAAAUCCAUUUUCUCACCUGGUAAUCGCUUACAGCCUGUUUGUAAGCGAUUACACAGGUUAAUUGGUCAUGAAAAUCACACACCACUUGAAAUCACACAGCAUUUGUACCCUCCCCACCUAAUUCUAACCAUGUUAGCCCCCAACACCCAAUUGGGAGCAGCGUUCAAAAAACCAGGGAGCAGCCAUCAACUUUAGGUACAAAA
rnacentral:lncRNA from 1 species